rnacentral:sRNA from 1 species
GGUGGCGUGCUGCUCAGUCCGUUUCUGAUUUAUGUGCUGCUGGCGCUGCUCGUCACUGGCGCCUUGCGCAUGCUCUGGCGCCUGACGCCGGUGGGCCGCUGGAUCUGGCACGAAGCAUUGUUUGAUUGCGCCUUG